UACGUAGGGACCGAGCGUUGUCCGGAUUCACUGGGCGUAAAGGGUGCGUAGGUGGUCAGGUAAGUCUGAUGUGAAAUCUCUGGGCUCAACCCAGAAACUGCAUUGGAUACUAUCUGGCUAGAGGAGUGGAGGGGGGACUGGAAGUACUUGGUGUAGCAGUGAAAUGCGUAGAUAUCAAGUGGAACACCAGUGGCGAAGGCGGCAUCCUGGACCGAUACUGACGCUGAGGCACGAAAGCGUGGGGAGCAAACAGG
rnacentral:rRNA from 1 species